GGGUCUUUAGCAAAGUGGAUAAUGCGUCCGACUUCUAAUCGGAAGGUCGGGAGUUCGAUCCUCCCAAGACUCA
rfam:Bathycoccus prasinos genomic : Chromosome_9.